GCCUAAUACAUGCAAGUCGAACGAGAGCGACCGGUGCUUGCACUGGUCAAUCUAGUGGCGAACGGGUGAGUAACACGUGGGUAACCUGCCCAUCAGAGGGGGAUAACAUUCGGAAACGGAUGCUAAAACCGCAUAGGUCUUCGAACCGCAUGGUUUGAAGAGGAAAAGAGGCGCAAGCUUCUGCUGAUGGAUGGACCCGCGGUGCAUUAGCUAGUUGGUGAGGUAACGGCUCACCAAGGCCGUGAUGCAUAGCCGACCUGAGAGGGUGAUCGGCCACAUUGGGACUGAGACACGGCCCAAACUCCUACGGGAGGCAGCAGUAGGGAAUCUUCCGCAAUGGACGCAAGUCUGACGGAGCAACGCCGCGUGAGUGAAGAAGGUUUUCGGAUCGUAAAACUCUGUUGUUAGAGAAGAACAAGUGCUAGAGUAACUGUUAGCGCCUUGACGGUAUCUAACCAGAAAGCCACGGCUAACUACGUGCCAGCAGCCGCGGUAAUACGUAGGUGGCAAGCGUUGUCCGGAUUUAUUGGGCGUAAAGCGAGCGCAGGCGGUUCCUUAAGUCUGAUGUGAAAGCCCCCGGCUCAACCGGGGAGGGUCAUUGGAAACUGGGGAACUUGAGUGCAGAAGAGGAGAGUGGAAUUCCAUGUGUAGCGGUGAAAUGCGUAGAUAUAUGGAGGAACACCAGUGGCGAAGGCGACUCUCUGGUCU
rnacentral:rRNA from 1 species